UACGGAGGGAGCUAGCGUUGUUCGGAAUUACUGGGCGUAAAGCGCACGUAGGCGGCUUUGUAAGUUAGAGGUGAUAGCCUGGAGCUCAACUCCAGAAUUGCCUUUAAGACUGCAUCGCUUGAAUCCAGGAGAGGUGAGUGGAAUUCCGAGUGUAGAGGUGAAAUUCGUAGAUAUUCGGAAGAACACCAGUGGCGAAGGCGUCUCACUGGACUGGUAUGACGCUGAGGUGCGAAAGCGUGGGGAGCAAACAGGAUUAGAUAC
rnacentral:rRNA from 1 species